rnacentral:rRNA from 1 species
ACUCCUACGGGAGGCAGCAGUGGGGAAUUUUCCGCAAUGGGCGNAAGCCUGACGGAGCAACGCCGCGUGAGGGAUGAAGGCCUCUGGGCUGUAAACCUCUUUUAUCAAGGAAGAAGAUCUGACGGUACUUGAUGAAUAAGCCACGGCUAACUCC